GAUGAACGCUGGCGGCGUGCCUAAUACAUGCAAGUCGAGCGAACAGACGAGGAGCUUGCUCCUCUGACGUUAGCGGCGGACGGGUGAGUAACACGUGGAUAACCUACCUAUAAGACUGGGAUAACUUCGGGAAACCGGAGCUAAUACCGGAUAAUAUAUUGAACGGCAUGGAUCAAUAGUGAAAGACGGUUUUGCCGUCACUUAUAGAUGGAUCCGCGCCGCAUUAGCUAGUUGGUAAGGUAACGGCUUACCAAGGCAACGAUGCGUAGCCGAACUGAGAGGGUGAUCGGCCACACUGGAACUGAGACACGGUCCAGACUCCUACGGGAGGCAGCAGUAGGGAAUCUUCCGCAAUGGGCGAAAGCUUGACGGAGCAACGCCGCGUGAGUGAUGAAGGUCUUCGGAUCGUAAAACUCUGUUAUUAGGGAAGAACAAAUGUGUAAGUAACUAUGCACGUCUUGACGGUACCUAAUCAGAAAGCCACGGCUAACUACGUG
rnacentral:rRNA from 1 species